rnacentral:rRNA from 1 species
UACAGAGGGUGCAAACGUUGUUCGGAAUUACUGGGCGUAAAGCGCAUGUAGGCGGCCUAGCAGGUCGGAUGUGAAAUCCCUCGGCUCAACCAAGGAAGUGCAUUCGAAACCGCAAGGCUGGAGUCCCGGAGAGGAUGGUGGAAUUCUCGGUGUAGAGGUGAAAUUCGUAGAUAUCGAGAGGAACACCUGCGGCGAAGGCGGGUUGCUGGGCUGACACUGACGCUGAUGCGCGAAAGCUAGGGGAGCGAACGGG